UACGUAGGGUGCAAGCGUUAAUCGGAAUUACUGGGCGUAAAGCGUGCGCAGGCGGUUUUGUAAGUCUGUUGUGAAAUCCCCGGGCUCAACCUGGGAAUGGCAAUGGAGACUGCAAGGCUAGAGUUUGGCAGAGGGGGGUAGAAUUCCACGUGUAGCAGUGGAAAUUGCGUAGAGAUGAUGGAGGAACACCGAUGGCGAAGGCAGCCCCCUGGGUCAAGAUUGACGCUCAUGCACGAAAGCGUGGGGAGCAAACAGGA
rnacentral:rRNA from 1 species